rnacentral:rRNA from 4 species
GGCGACGAUCUGUAGCGGGUCUGAGAGGAUGAUCCGCCACACUGGGACUGAGACACGGCCCAGACUCCUACGGGAGGCAGCAGUGGGGAAUAUUGGACAAUGGGGGAACCCUGAUCCAGCCAUGCCGCGUGUGUGAAGAAGGCCUUUUGGUUGUAAAGCACUUUAAGCGAGGAGGAGGCUACUUAGAUUAAUACUCUGAGAUAGUGGACGUUACUCGCAGAAUAAGCACCGGCUAACUCUGUGCCAGCAGCCGCGGUAAUACAGAGGGUGCGAGCGUUAAUCGGAUUUACUGGGCGUAAAGCGUGCGUAGGCGGCUUUUUAAGUCGGAUGUGAAAUCCCUGAGCUUAACUUAGGAAUUGCAUUCGAUACUGGGAAGCUAGAGUAUGGGAGAGGAUGGUAGAAUUCCAGGUGUAGCGGUGA